GACGAACCGUGCGAACGUUGUUCGGAAUCACUGGGCUUAAAGCGUGUGUAGGCGGAUCGUUAAGUGUCUUGUGAAAUCCCACGGCUCACCCGUGGAACCGCUGGGCAUACUGGCGAUCUUGGGCCGUUCAGGGGCGACUGGAACAAGCGGUGGAGCGGUGAAAUGCGUAGAUAUCGCUUGGAACGCCGAAGGUGAAAACAGGUCGCUGGGGACGCGCCGACGCUGAGACACGAAAGCCAGGGGAGCAAACGGG
rnacentral:rRNA from 1 species